UACGGAGGGUGCAAGCGUUGUCCGGAUUUAUUGGGUUUAAAGGGUGCGUAGGCGGCCCUGUAAGUCAGUGGUGAAAUACUGCAGCUUAACUGUAGCAUUGCCAUUGAUACUGUAGGGCUUGAGUACAGAUGAGGUAGGCGGAAUUGAUGGUGUAGCGGUGAAAUGCAUAGAUACCAUCAAGAACACCGAUUGCGAAGGCAGCUUACUAAGCUGUAACUGACGCUGAGGCACGAAAGCGUGGGGAUCAAACAGG
rnacentral:rRNA from 1 species